GAUGGAAGAACGCAGCUAAAUGCGAUAAGUAAUGUGAAUUGCAGAAUUCAGUGAAUCAUCGAAUCUUUGAACGCACAUUGCGCCCGCCAGUAUUCUGGCGAGCAUGCCUGUUCGAGCGUCAUUUCAACCAUCAAGCCCCAGGCUUGUGUUGGAGCCCUGCGGCUGCCGCAGCCUCCCAAAACCAGUGGCGGGCUCGCUAUCACACCGAGUGCAGUAGUUUACUCUUCGCUCAGGGCGUGUGGCGGGUGCUAGCCGUGAAACCCCCAACUUCUCAAGGUUGACCUCGGAUCAGGUAGGAAUACCCGCUGAACUUAAGCAUAUCAAUAAGCGGAGGA
rnacentral:misc_RNA from 1 species